rnacentral:rRNA from 1 species
CCAGUGGCGAACGGGUGCGUAACACGUGAGGAACCUGUCCAACGGUGGGGGAUAGCCGGCCCAACGGCCGGGUAAUACCGCGUACGACCCCAGGGGGGGCAUCUCCCCGGGGUGAAAGCAGCAAUGCGCCGAUGGAGGGCCUCGCGGCCUAUCAGCUAGUUGGUGAGGUAAUGGCUCACCAAGGCUACGACGGGUAGCUGGUCCGAGAGGAUGACCAGCCACAUUGGGACUGAGACACGGCCCAG